rfam:Enterobacter cloacae S611 EDP2.NODE_1917, whole genome shotgun sequence.
ACAGUGCCAUGGCCGUCUCGCAUAACGGCUAAUUAACAGAUAAAAAGGCGCAGAGAUCUGCGCCUUUUUU